ACCAGCCAGCCAGGAGCUUCCCAGUAAUAAACUGCUCGCUUCGGUGCAGGCGUGCGUUAAACUUAGCCAGCUGACCUGAGGGCUCAGGGCAACCCAAAGCGACUUCCAACCAACCACAGAGACAUUAAAAUCAAGGAGGGU